GUGUGGAUCUUCCCAGUUGCAGCUGUAUUACAGGGCAAGUUCUCCAUUGGCAGGUAGCCACUAUGAUAUGCAUCUCAUGUUUGCAACUUUCUUAGUAUGCAAUCUGCCAAAGGAGAUUUGCCCAGCGAUUCUCCU
rnacentral:pre_miRNA from 1 species